rnacentral:lncRNA from 1 species
AGUGUAUCAGGGAAUUCGGUUUUCCUGGUAGCUGGAGUUAGCUCAGCUAAUGAACUAGUGUGCUGAAGGUUCAGUGGGUGAGCUGAGUGUUGCGGUGGGGAGGAAUACAGGACGUUUGUUUGUUAAAAUGGGCUACGGAGAAUUCCCAGAUCACCACUACAGGCGAUUUGCCCAUGAGAUGAUAAUAAAUGCAGAUGUCCAAAAAAAUUAUUAGCAGAACAUGCGUCCACAGAAUGAAUAAAACUCAUGCUGUUGAGUGCAAGAUCAAGAACUGCUGAAUUUUGACCUCUGUGCUAAUCUUCUGCUCUGCCCUGACCUGCAUUAAGAAAACCAGAUCAGAUGAUGCCAGCUAGCCAAACUGAGUCCAACA